rnacentral:rRNA from 1 species
CAGUCGCCGCGGUAAUAUGUAGCUGGCAAGCGUUGUCCGGAAUUAUUGGGCGUAAAGGGCUCGCAGGCGGUUUCUUAAGUCUGAUGUGAAAGCCCCCGGCUCAACCGGGGAGGGUCAUUGGAAACUGGGAAACUUGAGUGCAGAAGAGGAGAGUGGAAUUCCACGUGUAGCGGUGAAAUGCGUAGAGAUGUGGAGGAACACCAGUGGCGAAGGCGACUCUCUGGUCUGUAACUGACGCUGAGGAGCGAAAGCGUGGGGAGCGAACAGGAUUAGAUACCCGCGUAGUCCCUGUCUCUUAUAC